rnacentral:tRNA from 1 species
CGGGGCUUAGCGCAGUGGUAGCGCGUACGUCUGGGGGACGUGAGGUCGCCAGUUCGAUCCUGGUAGCCCCGACCA